UGGGGAAUAUUGCGCAAUGGGCGAAAGCCUGACGCAGCAACGCCGUGUGAGGGAUGAAGGCUUUCGGGUCGUAAACCUCUGUCGGAAGGGAAGAACGGGCAUUGGUCUAAUAGGCCUUUGUUUUGACGGUACCUUUAGAGGAAGCACCGGCUAACUCCGUGCCAGCAGCCGCGGUAAUACGGAGGGUGCAAGCGUUAUUCGGAAUUACUGGGCGUAAAGCGCACGUAGGCGGCUUUGGAAGUCAGGGGUGAAAGCCCACGGCCCAACCGUGGAACUGCCGUUGAAACUGCAUAGCUUGAAUCCUGGAGAGGGUGGCGGAAUUCCUGGUGUAGGAGUGAAAUCCGUAGAUAUCAGGAGGAACACCGGUGGCGAAGGCGGCCACCUGGACAGGUAUUGACGCUGAGGUGCGAAAGUGUGGGGAGCAAACA
rnacentral:rRNA from 1 species